CAGCCUCUACAGUCUGAUACACAACCACAGCAGUUUUAUGAGCGGUAUAUUCCAGAUUCAAAAUGAGAGCUUGACCACGCACUGGCCAAAAGAUAGCAACGAUGUGACCAAUCAACAUAGCCGUAGAGGAGUGGAUCCAUGUUGUGUCACCGUCAUGACUGUAACCACACCAUUGUACGUCACAUCGGUGUAUGACAACCUAAGUUACAGAGUCAAACACCUCACCUCGACCUAUCAGUUUCUAAAUCAGGGAAAGUGCGCUGCGCUAGGCUCCCCUUGUACACUAUCUGGUACUUGCCAGCUGAGGAACAGAGUCCAGUGGAUCCUUGUAGAGAAGGACGACGGCACCGACACCUUUGUCCCGGUUAACGCCGGCAACGACUGUUACUGUCAGUACCAUUAAAAUGUUACUGUCAGUAUUACUAAAACGUUACUGUCAGUAUUAUUAAAACGUUACUGGUACCAAUAAAACGUUACUGUAAGUGUCAUUAAAA